UACACUGCCAACAAAGGUCCAUCUAGUCAAGGCUAUGGUUUUUCCAGUGGUCAUGUAUGGAUGUGAGAGUUGGACUAUAAAGAAAGUGGAGCACUGAAAGUUUAUGCUUUUGAACUGUGGUGUUGGAAAAGUCUUGAGAGUCCCUUGUUCUGCAAGGAGA